UGCAUGUCUAAGUAUAAAUAACUACACAGUAAAACUGCGAAUGGCUCAUUAAAACAGUUAUAGUUUAUUUGAUACAUAAAAUGGAUAACUGUAGAAAAACUAGAGCUAAUACAUGCCAUAACCGCAAGGUUGUAUUUAUUAGAUAUACCAAAGUGGGUGAAUCAUAAUAACUUCGCAAAUCGCAGCAACGCUGCGAUAAAUCAUUCAAGUUUCUGCCCUAUCAUGCUUUCGAUGGUAGUGUAUUGGACUACCAUGGCUCUCACGGGUAACGGGGAAUUAGGGUUCGAUUCCGGAGAAGGAGCCUGAGAAACGGCUACUACAUCUACGGAAGGCAGCAGGCGCGUAAAUUACCCAAUCCUGACUCAGGGAGGUAGUGACAAGAUAUAACGACGCGACUAAAAAUCGCGAUUGUAGUGAGGGUAUUCCAAACCGAACCACUAGUACGAUUGGAGG
rnacentral:rRNA from 1 species